AAUCGAAUACCUUCCACCUCAAGCUUUCAAGUCGGGUUCACCACUUAUGUCGUAUUACGUGCUUUUCUGCUCGAGAACGCGUCGGACGUAUGGCUGUAGAAGGUAGUAUGGAGAUUCGCCAAUAUUCAAGCAGUUUAUCGGUUUUUGACUAUUGGAAUACAAACAACUGCAAGAAUAUACCGUAAAUCUAUACGGAUGCCCUUCGACUACUUGUCAAAGUCCUUUUUACCCAAGCUGGUAGGUCUCUAGACGUUAUAGAGAACCCCGAACAACCCAAACUGCUAAUCUUCGAUACCGCUUUAUACUCACGAUCUUGUAUCCACUGA
rnacentral:lncRNA from 1 species